CCCCUAGUAACUGCGAGUGAAGCGGGAAAAGCUCAAAUUUAAAAUCUGGCAGUCUUUGAUUGUCCGAGUUGUAAUCUAGAGAAGUGUUAUCCGCGUUGGACCGUGUACAAGUCUCCUGGAGUGGAGCAUCAUAGAGGGUGAGAAUCCCGUCUUUGACACGGACUACCAGUGCUUUGUGAUGCGCUCUCAAAGAGUCGAGUUGUUUGGGAAUGCAGCUCAAAAUGGGUGGUAAAUUCCAUCUAAAGCUAAAUAUUGGCGAGAGACCGAUAGCGAACAAGUACCGUGAGGGAAAGAUGAAAAGAACUUUGGAAAGAGAGUUAAACAGUACGUGAAAUUGCUGAAAGGGAAACGCUUGAAGUCAGUCGCGUUGGCUGGAAAUCAACCUUGCUUUUGCUGGGCGUACUUUCUAGUCAAUGGGUCAGCAUCAAUUUUGACCAUUGGAAAAAGUGUAGAGGAAUGUGGCAUCUUCGGAUGUGUUAUAGCCUUUGCUCGCAUACAGUGGUUGGGAUUGAGGAAUUCAGCAGGGAAAAAA
rnacentral:rRNA from 1 species